rnacentral:snRNA from 1 species
GUGCUCACUUCGCAGCAUAUGUACUAAAACUGGAAUAAUACAGAGAAGAUUAGCAUGGCCCCUGAGCAAGGAUGAUACACAAAUUCUUGAAGCAUUCCAUAAUUUU